GAUGAACGCUGGCGGCGUGCCUAAUACAUGCAAGUCGAGCGAACGGACGAGAAGCUUGCUUCUCUGAUGUUAGCGGCGGACGGGUGAGUAACACGUGGAUAACCUACCUAUAAGACUGGGAUAACUUCGGGAAACCGUAGCUAAUACCGGAUAAUAUUUUGAACCGCAUGGUUCAAAAGUGAAAGACGGUCUUGCUGUCACUUAUAGAUGGAUCCGGGCUGCAUUAGCUAGUUGGUAAGGUAACGGCUUACCAAGGCAACGAUGCAUAGCCGACCUGAGAGGAUGAUCGGCCACACUGGAACUGAGACACGGUCCAGACUCCUACGGGAGGCAGCAGUAGGGAAUCUUCCGCAAUGGGCGAAAGCCUGACGGAGCAACGCCGCGUGAGUGAUGAAGGUCUUCGGAUCGUAAAACUCUGUUAUUAGGGAAGAACAUAUGUGUAAGUAACUGUGCACAUCUUGACGGUACCUAAUCAGAAAGCCACGGCUAACUACGUG
rnacentral:rRNA from 1 species